rnacentral:rRNA from 1 species
UACGUAGGGGGCUAGCGUUGUCCGGAUUUAUUGGGCGUAAAGAGCGUGUAGGCGGCCAGAUAGGUCUGCUGUGAAAACUCGAGGCUCAACCUCGAGAUGUCGGCGGAAACCAUUUGGCUAGAGUCCGGAAGAGGAAGGUGGAAUUCCUGGUGUAGCGGUGAAAUGCGCAGAUAUCAGGAAGAACACCCGUGGCGAAGGCGGCUUUCUGGGACGGUACUGACGCUGAGACGCGAAAGCGUGGGGAGCGAACAGG